rnacentral:rRNA from 1 species
CCCUUAGAUGUUCUGGGCCGCACGCGCGCUACAAUGAUGAAUUCAACGAGUUUAUAACCUUGGUUGAAAAGCCUGGGUAAUCUUUUGAACUUUCGUCGUGAUGGGGCUAGACCCUUGCAAUUAUUGGUCUCCAACGAGGAAUUCCUAGUAAACGCAAGUCAUCAGCUUGCAUUGAUUACGUCCCUGCCCUUUGUACACACCGCCCGUCGCACCUACCGAUUGAAUGGUCCGGUGAAAUCUUCGGAUUGAGACUUUGAUUUGUUUACUCAAAACGCUGUUUCAAGAAGUUGAUUAAACCUUACCAUUUAGAGGAAGGCGAAGUCGUAACA